UGAAUUUUCAGGUUCCUUUGUUAUAAGGCCAGUGCCAACUCUUAUAACAUAGUGACUUUUUGCUCUUUGAUUUGAUUAUAACCUUUAAAGAAUAGAAAAUAGCUUAUAAAAUUGUACUAAAUAAUUGUAUUUGAAGGUAAUUUUUAUAAUAAUACACAGUAAUCUAUUGAUUUAAGCUAAAUAUAUUUACGAUUCCUUUGCUUAGAUAUAAUUUUUUUUCAAUUUUAAAAACUAUAAAUAUUAGAAUUACAACAAAUUUUGCAUUAAAAAUUGAAACGAUAUUAAACUAUGAAGAAAUCUGCCCGAAAUUUGCUAUAUGAUAGAUUACACAAAGGGGGUGUAUUAAUAUGUGUUGGAUUGACGAUUUAUGGCUCAGUUAUGCUUGCUGAUCAUUUCUACAAGUAUUACAAAUAUGUCAGACCUCAAAUACAAACAGCAAAGUUAGCAGCUGAGCAAGAGUUACUAGCAGAGGGGUCUUCAGAUAGAAUUUUGUUAAAAGAAUAGGUAGUCAGAGUUAUUGUUUUUAUAGUUCUUAAUAAUAUAUGUUGAGAAUAGAUGAGAAGGCAUCUUCAAACUACAAAUCUCUUCAAACUGAUUUGUACUGCUUCAAGUUUAUUAGAUGUCAUUGAUUUUUUAAUGAUGUGUAACAUUUGUUACAUAUUGAUGAUUUAUGAGUUCUUAAUUAAUUAUGAUUUUUUUUUCAAUCCAAAGAUUUUGCUCCCCAUGCUGUUCUUAUGUUGUGAAAGUAAGUUGUGUUAUUAUUGAUAAAUUUAUAACAUACAAGCCUCUUAAACAGAUUCAAUAAUUCUUUUAAAUACAUUGAAUAAUUCAACUAUAUUAUUAAAAAUAUUUAUGUAGAAUUUAGUGUAAGUUGCUGAUUAGUAUUGAUUUAACAUGUACUUUGUUAUUGUGCAUUUUAAGCAUUGUAGAAUAAUCUUAGUUUGAGUUCUAAGUCAUUUCUGAUGUAAUAUAAUAGAAUAGUACUCUGUAUCAUGAUAAUGUAAUUAAAAACAUUUUUUUAUGCAA